rnacentral:rRNA from 1 species
AGUGAACGCUGGCGGCGUGCUUAACACAUGCAAGUCGAACGGAUGAAAUAAGCUUGCUUAUUUCGUUAGUGGCGCACGGGUGAGUAAUGUAUAGCUAACCCGCCCUUUAGUGGGGGACAACAGUUGGAAACGACUGCUAAUACCCCAUACUCCUUCUUAUCACAAGGUAAGUUGGGAAAGAUUUAUUGCUAAAGGAUGGGGCUUUAUGGUAUCAGCUAGUUGGUGGGGUAACGGCCUACCAAGGCUAUGACGCCUACCUGGUCUGAGAGGAUGAUCAGGCACACUGGAACUGAGACACGGUCCAGACUCCUACGGGAGGCAGCAGUGGGGAAUAUUGCACAAUGGAGGAAACUCUGAUGCAGCAACGCCGCGUGGAGGAUGACGCAUUUCGGUGUGUAAACUCCUUUUAUAAGGGAAGAUAAUGACGGUACCUUAUGAAUAAGCACCGGCUAACUCCGUGCCAGCAGCCGCGGUAA